GGGACGCUCUCGCGCGAUCCCGGGGGCCAGGGCGGGGCCGGCGCUGUCCCGCGCUUCCUGCCACCCCUCCGCGCCUCUCCGCUCCGGGCCAUGGCGGCCGUGGCUUGGGGACGGUGCCUCCCUCGGGUGUGGCUUCGCAGGAGGGCCGGGCCUGUCUGGGGCCGCCACUACCGCGCCGCGCUCUGCGCCGAGCUGAAGCAGCCCCUGGCCAUCGAGGAGGUUGCCUCCUGCCCCGUCCGGCCUCACGAGGUCAGAGUGGACGUCCAUUUCUGUGGAGUUAAUUUUGCUGAUAUUUUGGUCUGCCGUGGUCAGUAUCAGGAAAAGCCUCAACUUCCCUUCACACCUGGAAUGGAGUUUUCGGGGACAGUAUUGGAGACAGGCACAGAUGUCAGCACAGUGAAAGAGGGAGAUCGAGUUAUUGGCGUGAGUGGCUUUAAUGGUAUGGCUGAAGAAUGCAUCAUUGAUCACAAGACACUGUGGCAGAUUCCAGAAGGGGUCCCCCUCCGAGAAGCUGCUACCUUGCCUGUAUCUUAUGUCACUGCUAUUUUGGCCUUGGAGCAUCGGGCCUGUACUCGGCCUGGAGAAACUGUUUUAGUGACAGCAGCAGCUGGAGCCACAGGCCUUGCAGUGAUAGAUGUGGCAACAAAUGUUCUUCAGGCUAAGGUAAUAGCUGCAGCCGGAAGUGACGAGAAGUGCAGGCUGGCGAUGCGGAAGGGUGCACAGUCCAUCGUGAACUAUAGUCAGGGCAGCCUGAAGGAGGCAGUGAGGAAGCUGGUGGGCAGUGAUGGGGUGAACGUGGUCAUCGACGCUGUGGGAGGAGAUGUCUUCCUGGAGGCUCUCCGCAGCCUGGCCUGGGAGGGCAGGAUUGUGGUGGUGGGUUUUGCUGGAGGAACCAUUGCUUCUGUGCCAGCCAACCUUCUGCUCCUGAAGAAUGUCUCUGCUAUGGGGCUGUACUGGGGCCGAUACAAAGAGCAGAACUUUCCUGUCUUCUCCAGAAUCCUGUCCUCUGCUCUUCAGUACUGCCAGCAAGGGCGCAUCCAGCCACACAUCGGAGCGGUUUUUAAGCUGGAGGAGUCAAGAGGGUAGCAUUUGGUGGUAAAAAGAGAACCUGACUGGUCAUGGGAAAACUGGUCGGAUUCUAUUUCCACCUGUGCCUUUAGUGGCUCCUUCGUGGAAGUCUCCUCUGCCCUCCGACCAUCAGUCUCCACGCCUCUGCAGCAGGUUAUGUACUUCAGGGGCGGCAGUGUGCGGGGGUGGGCAGGUGACCCGAGCUGCCUGGCCUCUGGGACCCCAUCUCUGCUGGGGUCUGAGUAGCUGCACAUUUUUACCUUUUUGUUCAUCUGUUUCUUGUGUUAAAAGGUUUUGUGGCUUAAAAAACUUGAAAACCACCAGUUUCCAGAAUUGCUGAGUCCCCUUCCGUCUUGUGACUUUUAUCAUGUGCCUGUGAACCGAGGUUUGCUUUACCUAAAGCUCAUGUAUACCUGUCGAUAGAAGAUGAGGACAGUUAGGACGGGUCAAUGAUGCCUUCCUUCAUGUGAUACAGCGCAAAUCCAUGGGCAAGGUGCUUAUCUCCCUGAAAUAAACCCUCACCUCAGCAGCAAAUUCAGCAUGUCCAAAUCUAAGCUCCUCAUCUUUCCAAAAAACCUCCUUUACCUCCAGUGUUUCUAAAGGUGUGACCGCUUUCCUGAUUAAUCCAGGUUCAGAAUCUUUUAGAGGCAUCUUCGAUUCUGUUUUCUUAUUCCUAGUAAAUAGUGUGACACAUACUGUAUAGUCCUAGUUUGUCUGUAUUGGAGAGGGAAAGGAGGCUGUUAGUAAUUACACCAGGCAAGCAAGGUGUCCCAGGCAAAGCAGGAUGUAUGGCCGUUCUGUUCACAAUGCCUCAGUGGCCGGGUUCUGUCAUCCCCACCUCUCAAGAUAUCUCUCACCUCCGUAUCCUCUUUUCCAUUCCAGCCAAUUAUGUUUCAUCUGCUAAUUCCAGUAACUUUCUGACUGGCUUUCCAACCUUUAAACGUCCCCCACCCCUCUGUCCUUGUUAUACAUUGUUGCCAUGGUGACCUUCCUAAAGUACAGCUGUGACUGUGUCUCUUCUCAGAAAACCUGCAAUGGCUCCCCUUGGUCUACAUGGUGGAGUCCAGACUCCUCAAGCUAGCAUUUCUUUGUGUCCAUGGCCUUGCCAUGCUCUGCUCUGCAGCCUCAAGUUACACAACGCCUCUGGUCCCUCCAUGUGUACUUAGAUUUCCUGCCAACCCCCCCUUUCCUCUGCUCAAGCAGUUUCCUCUGCUCCCUUGUCCCUGUCAAACACAAACCUUUCUGACUUCCAAGACCGACCUCUGCCAUGAGCCUGCCCCCUCAGGAGGCUGGUCAUUUCUUCCCUUCCACUUUCCUGUAGCUUUUUCCCUGGGAUUUGUCACAUUCUGCCUGGCACCAGAGGGAGCAGCAUGUCUAGUAGAAUGAACACAGGAUUCUGAAUCUAAGAUGUGCGUUCGCAUCCUGGUCUUACCACUUCGGAGGUGGUUACUUAAGGUCUGUGAGCCUCCAUUUUCUCAUAUUACAAUAUCUACCUCACAACGUUGUCGUGGGCAACACAUGCAGCAAUUGGGCAAAUUAUCCGGUGCGUGGUGAGCUAUUAGCAAAUGCUCGUUACUUUUACUUCUUUCUCUCCUCCUUUCCCAAGGUAGCAUAAGUUUUUUGAAAGCGGGUACCAUGUCUGAUUCACCUUUGUACCUCCCACAAUUCCUAUCACAAUGAGUAGUAAAUACGCCAUACAUGGAAUUGA